rnacentral:rRNA from 1 species
AACGAACGCUGGCGGCAGGCUUAACACAUGCAAGUCGAACGCGCCCUUCGGGGCGAGUGGCAGACGGGUGAGUAACGCGUGGGAACCUACCUCAUGGUACGGAAUAACUCAGGGAAACUUGAGCUAACACCGUAUGUGUCCUUCGGGAGAAAGAUUUAUCGCCAUGGGAUGGGCCCGCGUCGGAUUAGCUAGUUGGUGGGGUAACGGCCUACCAAGGCGACGAUCCGUAGCUGGUCUGAGAGGAUGAUCAGCCACACUGGGACUGAGACACGGCCCAGACUCCUACGGGAGGCAGCAGUGGGGAAUAUUGGACAAUGGGGGCAACCCUGAUCCAGCCAUGCCGCGUGAGUGAUGAAGGCCUUAGGGUUGUAAAGCUCUUUCGCCGGUGAAGAUAAUGACGGUAACCGGAGAAGAAGCCCCGGCUAACUUCGUGCCAGCAGCCGCUGUAACAC